rnacentral:rRNA from 1 species
GAUGAACGCUGGCGGCGUGCCUAAUACAUGCAAGUCGAGCGAACAGACGAGGAGCUUGCUCCUUUGACGUUAGCGGCGGACGGGUGAGUAACACGUGGAUAACCUACCUAUAAGACUGGGAUAACUUCGGGAAACCGGAGCUAAUACCGGAUAACAUGUUGAACCGCAUGGUUCAACAGUGAAAGACGGUCUUGCUGUCACUUCUAGAUGGAUCCGCGCCGCAUUAGCUAGUUGGUAAGGUAACGGCUUACCAAGGCAACGAUGCGUAGCCGACCUGAGAGGGUGAUCGGCCACACGGGAACUGAGACACGGUCCAGACUCCUACGGGAGGCAGCAGUAGGGAAUCUUCCGCAAUGGGCGAAAGCCUGACGGAGCAACGCCGCGUGAGUGAAGAAGGUCUUCGGAUCGUAAAACUCUGUUAUUAGGGAAGAACAAAUGUGUAAGUAACUAUGCACGUCUUGACGGUACCUAAUCAGAAAGCCACGGCUAACUACGUG